rnacentral:lncRNA from 1 species
GUGCUGUUCAUCGACGAGGUCCACAUGCUGGACAUCGAGAGCUUCUCCUUCCUCAACCGGGCCCUGGAGAGUGACAUGGCGCCUGUCCUGAUCAUGGCCACCAACCGUGGCAUCACGCGAAUCCGGGGCACCAGCUACCAGAGCCCUCACGGCAUCCCCAUAGACCUGCUGGACCGGCUGCUUAUCGUCUCCACCACCCCCUACAGCGAGAAAGACACGAAGCAGAUCCUCCGCAUCCGGUGCGAGGAAGAAGAUGUGGAGAUGAGUGAGGACGCCUACACGGUGCUGACCCGCAUCGGGCUGGAGACGUCACUGCGCUACGCCAUCCAGCUCAUCACAGCUGCCAGCUUGGUGUGCCGGAAACGCAAGGUGGAUGACAUCAAGCGGGUCUACUCACUCUUCCUGGACGAGUCCCGCUCCACGCAGUACAUGAAGGAGUACCAGGACGCCUUCCUCUUCAACGAACUCAAAGGCGAGACCAUGGACACCUCCUGAGUUGGAUGUCAUCCCCCGACCCCACCCUGUUUUCCACCAGAGUUCUGACACUGUGACUCUGUAUAAAAUGGUUGGGAAGCUGCA